AGCCCUCCCUAGAACAACUGCGUUUUAUAUACUGUAUUAUAAGUAUCGCUGAGAAAGCCCGUGUAAUGAUUAAUGCAAUGAGAACUACACAAGUGCGUCAGUGCGCGAUGUAGGCGGAGGGAGGUGGUUCCUCGACCCUCGCUGUCAUAGCAACAGCAAAGGUGGAGCGAUAUUUCAACAGAGGGGUUGGAUUGUUUGUUAGUUGAAGUCACGUGACGGGCCGCUGGGGAAUGGGGGCACUUCCUGUUUUACUCCACGGAGACUUGAGACCAGACGCUGUUGUCAGUUUCAACAAAAUGGCUGCUGGAGCGCCACAGACGAAAACCCAGUGAACGCUUCACAUCAGUGCAGUGUCACUUUAAAUGGAUGCAUUGGAAUUUCCCUACCUUCUGAGCGUCGGGACAUUUACUCGCGUGGACUCGUGUACAUACGUAUUAACGAACUAAAGGCAUGCUGAAAUAUUCCCUUUACGCACUUUAUAUAUAUAUCUAUCCAAAAGCAUACAAAAGCUCAAACUGCCAGUGCGCGCGCGUCUGUGUGGGUGUGCGCGUGUGUAGCUGCUCCUAAGGAUCGCCGAGAUGUUACAGCUGAUCAACCUGACGUGCAAAACUGUGGUUUAAUGUCCCUCUCACUGUUUGCACUGGAGCUUUAGAGUUUUUUUCCCUUCUCUCUGGAUAAAUUCCGCUGCAGAUUGAGAGGUGAAUUCCUCAACUGGAAAGUCGGGCUCGCCAUUGCAGCUCAGACUGCGACUGAAUAACAUCUGACCUGUGUCAGGACGGGUAUCGACAACAUCCUCCUCCACCGUGCAGCUCGUGCAUCGCAUUCGAACAGCAGACCGCAGCUGCUCCGUGUGCGAAAUAAAGCCUUGGCACAAAACACGUCACACAAGAGGAGAACCAUUUGAUGGAAGAAAAGAAAAAGAAAAAGCAAGAGGAAAAGAAAAAGAAGGAAGCUGCUCAGAAAAAGGCUGCUGAACAGAAAACCAAAGGUCAGUUAUGAUUCUCUUUGCAGUGCUGCUAUAAGCAUGAAGCAUUUUUUUUUUUAAGGAUCUUCUCCAUAUACAUAUGUUCAUACCACAUGCAUCUCAAACACUACUGGAGUGGCAAAACAAAAUUUUAAAUGCUAACUGGCUAGUGUAUCUUUAUCACUUGAGAGUAGAGAAGAGGUGAAGAGUAGGUUCUGUGCAGUUAUUUAGUGUAUGUGGGCGAACUGAAUGACUGGCACAAGACAGCGCAACAGUUGGUAGAGACAAAUCGGCCAUGUUUGGUAACUGCUAAAGGAUUUCGUGCAUUUUAAACAUUUAAAAGCAGUUGUAACUGGCCAUGCAGUAAAUUAGGAUUAUAUUCCUUAAAGAGAGAGUUCACCCAAAAAUGAAAAUUCUGUCAUUAAUUGUUCACCCUCAUGUCGUUUCACACUCAUAAAACACUCAUUCAUCUUCUGAACACAAAUUAAUAUUUUUUGAUGAAAUCUGAGAGCUUUCUGACCCUGCAUAGACAGCA
ensembl:lncRNA